AUUAUACGUUUAGUGGCCAAGAACCCUAAGAUCAUAUGAUUGUUGAAUUCAGUUGAUCACGAAGCAUUGAAAUUAGACUCUGAGCUUAUAUCUAAAUUGCUGUUGAGGUUUUGUGAAAUAAAGCUUUAGAUAUUAUUCUUUACCUGAGUUAUAUAGAUGGUUGAAGGGGAUAAGACUUUUCUUUUUAUAAACUGAUGAACAUUUUUCAAGUAUAUACUUUUAUUAUAUGCUAGAGAAGUGAUUUUUUAACCAUUUUUAUUUGAUGUAUUCAUGAAUUUUGACCUAAAUAAAAUGAUUAUGCUGGAAAAUACAUAUCUCACGUGUUGAAGAAUAUGCAUAUUUUCAAUUAGCUCUUUCCUUAUUCUUUGUAGGCAAAACAUCCCUUGUAUUUUUGCUUUUAUAAGUUUUGUUCUACCGAUGACUCGUAAUGUUUAAGGUUGGGUUUGUUUUGCCUACCGUCCUACUUAUUAUUCUUCUUGUUCGUUUCCUUAACGAGGUUCCAACCAUUAUUUGAAGGAGUUUUGUUGAGGAUAACAUUUCAAGUUAAUCAUAUUUUUUUUGCGUUAUUUAAGCUUUGCCAUCGCGUAGAUGCAUCUAAAUGGAUUGUUGUUGACUUCUUUUGUCAUGUAGCUUUGAAGUGUUUACUUACAUUGUUCAGUUUCAUUUAGAAGAAAGCAACAGAUGUAGAUAUUGAAUUGAAAGGAACUUCCUUAUUUCUGGUGGGUAAAAGACAAACAUCUCACAUGGAUGCGUUGGUAUCAAUUCUCUUUGUUGGUUCAAGCUAAGAUUCUUAAAGAGUUUAGUAUUUGAAUGGUUAUUAUAUGAGUCUGCUAUGUAUUCUUUCUUGAGUAACUAAUGACUGAGAAUAAUUCCAGAAUGGAAGCUUCUUUGCUUCUUAUUUCUCCUCCACCAAAACCACUUCCUUCUCUUUUGUUUUCUUUUCUCCUUAGGUUGAUGGCAAUUAAUGGUGAAAGGGAUCGAUGCGAGGGUGAUACUGCUUGUAUUUUGCUAAGAACUUAAGGCCAAGUUGAAGAAAGUUUGCUAGAUGGUACAAGAUCAUUGUUUGAUUCCUCGCAAAUAUUAAUUUCUAAACACAUCUUUAACCAUGUAAUUAUAUAAAGAGUAAGAAAAGAAAUAUAUAAUUGGAAUGUAACAUUAUUAUUUAGAGAGGAGAAGAGAUAAAUUUUGUGAAAUGUAUAAAACUUGAUGGCUUAGAAGUAUGAAAGUAUAGGAGAUGAGAUGGGAGAGAAUAGCUUUAUAUUUCCUCCAUUCAUUUUCACAUUAAUGAUUGGACUAUACGCAUUUAAAGAAAAAAACAAAAAAACUAUUGGAGUGA